rnacentral:rRNA from 1 species
AAGCUAAGAAAAGCAGAGAUUUAAUCUCGUACCUUUUGCAUCAUGAUUUAACAAGUAUAACCAAGCAAAGAGCAUUUUAGUUGGCCCCCCGAAACCCAGGUGAGCUACUCCAAGACAACCUUAUCAUUUAGGGUAAACCCGUCUCUGUGGCAAAAGAGUGAGAAGAGCUUCGAGUAGAGGUGACAGAUCAAUCGAACUUGGUGAUAGCUGGUUGCUUGAGAAACGAAUAGGAGUUCUGCCUUUUAUAUUCUCACCUCAAAGCUGGGCAUGACAGCCCAACUCCACAGGUAAAUGAAGAUAAGAGAGUUAAUCAAAGGAGGUACAGCCCCUUUGAGACAAAACACAACUUUUCCAGAAGGGUAAAGAUCAUAAUCUUUAAGGUAACUAUGUUUUGGUGGGCCUAAGAGCAGCCACCCUAUUAGAAAGCGUUAAAGCUCUAACAUACUUCUCCCCUCAAUCCCGAUAUCAAAUCUUAACCCCCUAAAUAUAUAUCAAGCCGUCCCAUAAGUAUUAUGGGAGCGAUUAUGCUAAAAUGAGUAAUUAGAGAAUACCGUUUCUCUCCCCGUGCAAGUGUAAAUCGGAGCGGACCCCCCACCGAAACUUAACGGCCCCAAACAACAGAGGGCAUUGAAUGACAAACUACAUACAAGAAAACCAUUCAAACAUGACACCGUUGACCCUACACUGGUGUACUUCAAGGGAAAGACCAAAAGGAAGAGAAGGAAUUCAGCAAAACCCCGAGCCUCGCCUGUUUACCAAAAACAUCGCCUCUUGCUUACCACACAUAAGAGGUCUUGCCUGCCCCGUGACUAUACGUUUAACGGCCGCGGUAUUUUAACCGUGCGAAGGUAGCGCAAUCACUUGUCCCUUAAAUGAGGACCUGUAUGAAAGGCACGACGAGGGCCUAACUGUCUCCUCUUCCUGGUCAGUGAAAUUGAUCUCCCCGUGCAGAAGCGGGGAUCCUUACAUAAGACGAGAAGACCCUAUGGAGCUUUAGACUUUAGAACAGCCCCCCUAACAAGCUCGCUACCUUCAUAAAAUAGGUAAUAGCUUUUGCAUUUCUGUUCCCCGUCUUCGGUUGGGGUGACCAAGGAGCAUAAAAAGCCUCCAUGUGGACCAGGAGCACAGCACUACUCCUAAAAAAAUGAGCCACAGCUCUAAUGCACAGAACAUUUGACCAUUAGAUCCGGCAAAGCCGAUUAACGGACCAAGUUACCCUAGGGAUAACAGCGCAAUCCCCUUUAAGAGUCCCUAUCGACAAGGGGGUUUACGACCUCGAUGUUGGAUCAAGACAUCCUAAUGGUGCAGCCGCUAUUAAGGGUUCGUUUGUUCAACGAUUAAAGUCUU